rnacentral:rRNA from 1 species
GACGAACGCUGGCGGCGUGCUUAACACAUGCAAGUCGUACGGUAAGGCCCUUUCGGGGGUACACGAGUGGCGAACGGGUGCGUAACACGUGAGUAACCUGCCCACAACUUUGGGAUAACGCUAGGAAACUGGUGCUAAUACUGGAUAUGUGCUCCUGCUGCAUGGUGGGGGUUGGAAAGCUCCGGCGGUUGUGGAUGGACUCGCGGCCUAUCAGCUUGUUGGUGGGGUAGUGGCCUACCAAGGCGGCGACGGGUAGCCGGCCUGAGAGGGUGACCGGCCACAUUGGGACUGAGAUAAGGCCCAGACUCCUACGGGAGGCAGCAGGGGGGAAUAUUGCACAAUGGGCGCAAGCCUGAUGCAGCAACGCCGCGGGCGGGAUGACGGCCUUCGGGUUGUAAACCGCUUUCAGCAGGGACGAAGCUUUUUGUGACGGUACCUGCAGAAGAAGCACCGGCUAACUACGUG